CGUCUCUUCGGUGACCUCCUCCGGGUGGAUCCGAGUGGUUUCCUCAAUGCCCGAGUACAUCCACACAGGAUGAUCGCGGGCUUGGAGUGGCUGGACGCGUCGACUGAGAAACACUUCUAGAAAGUCCAUACCAGUCACGCCGUCCCGAACUAAUUGGACCACUCGCUCCAUCAGCAUGUUCACCUAUGCUCUCUCUGCUAGAGUUACUUUCAAAGAAGUGGGUGAUACGUCUCCAACAUAUCUAUAAUUUUUGAUUGCUCCAUGCUAUGUUAUCUACUGUUUUGGGCAAUAUUGGGCUUUAUUAUCCACUUUUAUAUUAUUUUUGGGACUAACCUAUUAACCAGAGGCCCAGCCCAGAAUUGUUGUUUUUUUGCCUAUUUCAGUGUUUCGAAGAAAAGGAAUAUCAAACGGAGUCGAAACGGAACGAAAUCAACUGGAGAAGUUACUUUUGGAAGGAAAGCUACCGGAUGGACUUGGACCCCACAUCAGGAGCCAAGGGAGGUGCUCACGAGGGUGGGGGGCGUGCCCCCUGCCUUGUGGGGCCCCCGAAGCUCCACCGACAUACUUCCUGCACCCAUAUAUACUCACGUACCCUAAAACUUCCGAGGAGACAAUAGAUCGGGACUUCCGCUGCCAAAAGCCUCCGUAGCCACCAAAAACCAAUCUAGACCCGUUCCGGCACCCUGCCGGAGGGGGGAAUCCCUCUCCGGUGGCCAUCUUCAUCAUCCCGGUGCUCUCCAUGACGAGGAGAGAGUAGUUCUCCCUCGGGGCUGAGGGUAUGUACCAGUAGCUAUGUGUUUGAUCUCUCUCUCUCUCUCUCUCGUGUUCUUGAGGUGGUACGAUCUUAAUGUAUCGCGAGCUUUCUAUUAUAUUUGGAUCCUAUGAUNNNNNNNNNNNNNNNNNNNNNNNNNNNNNNNNNNNNNNNNNNNNNNNNNNNNNNNNNNNNNNNNNNNNNNNNNNNNNNNNNNNNNNNNNNNNNNNNNNNNNNNNNNNNNNNNNNNNNNNNNNNNNNNNNNNNNNNNNNNNNNNNNNNNNNNNNNNNNNNNNNNNNNNNNNNNNNNNNNNNNNNNNNNNNNNNNNAUUGAGUUUUCCCUUUGAAGUUAUCUUAUCGGAUUGAGUCUUUAAAGAUUCGAGAACACUUGAUGUAUGUCUUGUCGUGCGUAUCUGUGGUGACAAUGGGAUAUCACGUGAUUCACUUGAUGUAUGUUCUGGUGAUCAACUUGCGGGUUCCGCCCAUGAACCUAUGCAUAGGGGUUGGCACACGUUUCAUCAUGAUUCUCUGGUAGAAACUUUGGGGCACUCUUUGAGGUUCUAUGUGUUGGUUGAAUAGAUGAAUCUGAGAUUGUGUGAUGCAUAUCAUAUAAUCAUACCCACGGAUACUUGAGGUGACAUAGGAGUAUCUUGUGUCUUAAGGUGUUAUUCUAGUACGAACUCUAGGGCUGUUUGUGACACUUAUAGGAAUAGCCCAACGGAUUGAUUGGAAAGAAUAACUUUGAGGUGGUUUCGUACCCUACCAUAAUCUCUUUGUCCGUUCUCCGCUAUUAGUGACUUUAGAGUGACUCUUUGUUGCAUGUUGAGGGAUAGUUAUAUGAUCCAAUUAUGUUAUUAUUGUUGAGGGAACUUACACUAGCGAAAGUAUGAACCCUAGGCCUUGUUGUUGUAAAUAUGCCCUAGAGGCAAUAAUAAAUUAGUUAUUAUUAUAUUAUAUUUCAUUGUUCAUGAUAAUCAUUUAUUAUCCAUGCUAGAAUUGUAUUGACAGGAAACACAGAUACAUGUGUGGAUACAUAGACAACACCAUGUCCCUAGUAAGCCUCUAGUUGACUAGCUCGUUGAUUAAAUAGAUGGUUAUGGUUUUGACCAUGGACAUUGGAUGUCGUUGAUAACGGGAUCACAUCAUUAGGAGAAUGAUGUGAUGGACAAGACCCAAUCCUAAGCCUAGCACAAGAUCAUGUAGUUCGUAUGCUAAAGCUUUUCUAAUGUCAAGUAUCAUUUCCUUAGACCAUGAGAUUGUGCAACUCUCGGAUACCGUAGGAGUGCUUUGGGUGUGCCAACCGUCACAACGUAACUGGGUGGCUAUAAAGGUGCACUACGGGUAUCUUCGAAAGUGUCUGUUGGGUUGGCACGAAUCGAGACUGGGAUUUGUCACUCCGUGUAACGGAGAGGUAUCUCUGGGCCCACUCGGUAGGACAUCAUCAUAAUGUGCACAAUGUCACCAAGGAGUUGAUCACGGGAUGAUGUGUUACGGAACGAGUAAAGAGACUUGCCGGUAAUGAGAUUGAACAAGGUAUCGGGAUACCGACGAUCGAAUCUCGGGCAAGUAUCGUACCGAUAGACAAAGGGAAUUGUAUACGGGAUUGAUUGAAUCCUUGACAUCGUGGUUCAUCCGAUGAUAUCAUCGUGGAGCAUGUGGGAGCCAACAUGGGUAUCCAGAUCCCGUUGUUGGUUAUUGACCGGAGAGUUGUCUCGGCCAUGUCUGCAUGACUCCCGAGCCCGUAGGGUCUACACACUUAAGGUUCGAUGAUGCUAGGGUUAUAGGGAAUAGAUGUACGUGGUUACCAAAUGUUGUUCGGAGUCCCGGAUGAGAUCCCGGACGUCACAAGGAGUUCUAGAAUGGUCCGGAGGUAAAGAUUUAUAUAUGGGAAGUCAUCAUACGGUCACCGAAAUAAUUCGAGGGGUUACCGGUAUUGUACCGGGACCACGGAAGGGGUUCCGGGGGUCCACCGGGAGGGUCCACCUGCCCCGGAGGGCCCUAUGGCUGUGUGUGGAGAGGGACCAGCCCCUUAGUGGUCUGGGCGCCUCCCCCUAGGGCCCAUGCGCCUAGGGUUUGGGGAACCCUAAAGGGGGGGCGCCCCCCUUGCCUUGGGGGGCAAGGCAACCCCCCUGGCCGCCGCCCCCUCCUCGGAUUGGAUCUGAGGGGGCCGGCCCCCCUCUCCCUUGCCCCUAUAUAUAUGUGGGGGGUGGGAGGGCAGCCGCACCCAAGUUCUGGCGUAGCCCUCCCCCUCUCCCAAGUCCUCCUCCUCUCCCGCGGUGCUUGGCGAAGCCCUGCAGGAUUGCCAUGCUCCUCCUUCACCACCACGCCGUCGUGCUGCUGCUGGAUGGAGUCUUCCCCAACCUCUCCUUCUCCCCUUGCUGGAUCAAGGCGUGGGAGACGUCACCGGGCUGCACGUGUGUUGAACGCGGAGGCGCUGUUGUUCGGCGCUUAGAUCGGAAUCAACCGCGAUCUGAAUCGCUGCAAGUACGACUCCUUCAUCUGCGUUCUUGCAACGCUUCGGCUUAGCGAUCUACAGGGGUAUGUAGAUGCACUCCCCUUCCCCUCGUUGCUAGAUUACUCCAUAGAUUGAUCUUGGUGAUGCGUAGAAAAUUUUAAAUUUCUGCUACGAUCCCUAAUAGUGGCAUCAUGAGCUAGGUCUAUGCGUAGUUUCUAUGCACGAGUAGAACACAAGUUGUUGUGGGCAUCGAUUUUGUCAAUUUACUUGUCGUUACUAGUCUUAUCUUGAUUCGGCGGCAUCAUGGGAUGAAGCGGCCUAGACCGACCUUACACGUACUCUUACGUGAGACAGGUUCCACCGACUGACAUGCACUAGUUUCAUAAGGUGGCUAGCGGGUGUCUGUCUCUCCCACUUUAGUCGGAUCGGAUUCGAUGAAAAGGGUCCUUAUGAAGGGUAAAUAGAAAUUGGCAUAUCACGUUGUGGUUUUGGCGUAGGUAAGAAACGUUCUUGCUAGAAACCUAUAGCAGCCACAUAAAAAUUUGCAACAACAAUUAGAGGACGUCUAACUUGUUUUUGCAGCAUAUGCCUUGUGAUGUGAUAUGGUCAAAAGGAUGUGAUGAAUGAUAUAUGUGAUGUAUGAGAUUGAUCAUGUUCUUGUAAUAGGAAUCACGACUUGCAUGUCGAUGAGUAUGACAACCGGCAGGAGCCAUAGGAGUUGUCUUAAUUUAUUUAUGACCUGCGUGUCAACUUCAACAUCAUGUAAUUACUUUACUUUAUUGCUAAACCGUUAGCCAUAGUAGUAGAAGUAAUAGUUGACGAGACGACUUCAUGAAGACAUGAUGAUGGAGAUCAUGGUGUCAUGCCGGUGACGAUGAUGAUCAUGGUGCCCCGAAGUUGGAGAUCAAAAGGAGCAAAAUGAUAUUGGCCAUAUCAUGUCACUAUUUGAUUGCAUGUGAUGUUUAUCAUGUUUUACAUCUUAUUUGCUUAGAACGACGGUAGCUUAAAUAAGAUGAUCCCUCGCAAUAAUUUCAAGAAAGUGUUCCCCCUAACUGUGCACCAUUGUGAAGGUUCGUUGUUUCGAAGCACCACGUGAUGAUCGGGUGUGAUAGAUUCUAACGUUCGGAUACAACGGGUGUAAGCCAGAUUUACACACGCAAUACACUUAGGUUGACUUGACGAGCCUAGCAUGUACAAACAUGGCCUCGGAACACGGAAAACCGAAAGGUCGAGCAUGAGUCUUAUAGAAGAUACGAUCAACAUGAAGAUGUUCACCGAUGAUGACUAGUCUGUCUCACGUGAUGAUCGGACAUGGCCUAGUUGACUCGGAUCAUGUAUCACUUAGAUGACUAGAGGGAUGUCUAUCUGAGUGGGAGUUCAUUAAAUAAUUUGAUUAGAUGAACUUAAUUAUCAUGAACAUAGUCUAAAUUGUCUUUGCAAAUAUGUUGUAGAUAAAUAGCUCAUGUUGUAGCUCCCUGUUUCAAUAUGUUCCUAGAGAAAGACUUAGUUCAAAGAUAUGGUAAGCAAUGAUGCGGACUGGGUCCAUUGUCCGAGGAGUGUCCUCACUGCUACACAGAAGGCUUACGUCUUUGAUGCACCGCUCGAUGUGCAAACCCCUACAACGUCGUCUGUGGAUGUUGUGAACACCUGAUAGACACAUCCUGAUGACUACUUGAUAGUUUAGUGCACCAUACUUUACGGCUUAGAAUCGGGAUUCCAAUGACGUUUUGAAUGCCAUAAGACAUAUGAGAUGUUCCAAGAGCUGAAAUUGGGAUUUCAGGCUCAUGCCCAUGUUGAGAGGUAUGAGACCUCUGACAAGUUCUUUUGCCAACAAGAUGGAGGAGAAUAGCUCAGCUAGUGAGCAUGUGCUCAGAAUGUCUGGGUGCUACAAUCACUUAAAUCAAGUGGGAGUUAAACUUCCAGAUAAGAUAGUGAUUGAUAGAGUUCUCUAGCCACUAUCACUAAGCUACUAGAUCUUCAUGAUGAACUAUGACAUGCAAGGAAUGGAGUUGAUCCCGGAGCUGUUCGCGGUGCUUAAGACCGCAAAAGGUAGAAAUCAAGAAGGAGCAUCAAGUGUUGAUGGUUUAACAAGACCACUGGUUUCAAGAAGGGCAAGGGCUAGAAGGGAAACUUCAUGGAUGGCAAACCAGUUGCCGCUCUAGUGAAGGAACCCAAGGUUGAACCCAAACCCGAGACUAAGUGCUUCUAUUGUAAGGGGAACGGUUACUGGUAGCGGAAUUACCCCAAAUGCAUGGUAGAUAAGAAGGCUGGCAACUUCAACAAAGUAUAUACGUGUUAUUAAUGUGUGUACCUCACUAGUACUCCUGGUGGCACCUGGGUAUUGGAUACCGGUUCAGUUGCUAUUAUUGGUGACUUGAAGCAAAAGCUACGGACUAAACGGAGACUGGCUAAGGGCGAGGUGACGAUGUGUGUUGGAAGUGUUUCCAAAGUUGAUGAGAUCACCAUCGCACACUCCAUCUGCCUUCGGGAUUAGUAUUGAACCUAGUUAAAUGUUAUCAGGUGUCUACGUUGAGCAUGAAUAUGAUUAGAUCAUGUUCAUUGCAAUACAGUUAUUCAUUUAAGUUAGAGAAUAAUGGUUAUUCUGUUUACAUGAAUAAUACCUUUCAUGGUCAUGCACCCUAUGUGAAUGGUUCAGUGAAUCUCGGUCGUGGUAAUACACAUGUUCACGCCAAAAGAUGUAGAUAGUACCACUUUCUUGUGGCACUGCCGCUUAGGUCAUAUUGGCGUAAGAUGCAUGAAGAAACUCUGUGUCGAUGGAUGUUUGGAGUCACUUGAUUUUGAAUCGCUUGACACAUGCGAGCCAUGCCUCAUGGGCAGGAUGACUAAGACCCCGUUUUCAGGUACAAUGAAACGGGCAAGUGACUUGUUGGAAAUCAUACAUGCUGAUGCGUGUGAUCCAAUGAGAAUUGAAGCGUGCGGUGGAUAUCCCUAUUUUCUCAUCUUCACUAACGAUUUGAGUAGAUAUAGGUAUAUUUACUUAAUGAAGCACAAGUCUAAAACAUUUGAAAAGUUCAAGCGAUUUCAGAGUGAAGUUAAGAACCAUCAUAACAAGAAGAUCAAAUUCCUACGAUCUGAUCGAUGAGAAUUUCUGAGUUAUGAGUUUGGCAAUCACUUAAGACAUUGUGGAAUUGUUUCAUAGUUGAAGCCACCUGGAACACCACAGGGUAAUGGUGUGUCCGGACGUCGUAAUCGAACCUUAUGAGAUAUGGUGCGAUCUAUGAUGUCUCUUACCGAUCUACCGUUUUCAUUUUGAGGAUAUGCAUUAGAGACAGCUGCAUUCACUUUAGAUAGGACACCAUCUAAGUCCGUUGAGACGACGUCGUAUGAAUAUGGUUUGGCAAGAAACCAAAGUUUUCGUUUCUCAAUGUUUGGGGCUGCGAUGCUUAAGGCUUCAGCUGGAGAAGCUCGAACCCAAAAGCGGACAAACACAUCUUCAUAGGAUACCCAAAGGUGACAGUUGGGUAUACCUUCUAUCUUAGAUCCGAGGGCAAAUUGUUUGCCGCUAAGAACGGGUCCUUUCUCGAGAAGGAGUUUCUCUUGAAAGAAUUGAGUGGGAGUAAGAUAGAACUUGAUGAGGUUGUCGAACCUUUACUUCAACCAGAGAGUGAUGCAACACAGAAAGAUGUUUUCUGUGGCGCCUACGUCUGUUGAAUAGGAAGUUAAUGAUAGUGAUCAUGAAGCUUCAGAUCAAGUUGCUAUCGAACCUUGUAGGUCGACAAGGAUAUGUACUACUCCUGAGUGGUACGGUAAUCCUAUCUUAGAUAUCAUGUUGUUAGACAACAAUGAACCUACGAGCUAUGGAGAAGCAAUGGUGGGCCCGUAUUCCGACAAAUGGUUAGAAGCCAUGAAAUCCGAGAUAGGAUCCAUGUAUCAGAACAAAGUAUGGACUUUGGUGGACUUGCCCGAUGAUCGGCAAGCCAUUGAGAUAAAUGGAUCUUUAAGAAGAAGACGGACGUGGGCGGUAAUGUUACCGUCUAUGAAGCUCGACUUGUGGGAAGAGUCUUUUCACAAGUUCAAGGAGUUGACUACGAUGAGAAUUUCUCACCCGUAGCGAUGCUUAAGUCCGUCGGAAUCAUGUUAGCAUUAGCUGUAUUUUUCGAUUAUGAAAUCUGACAGAUGGAUGUCAAAAACAAGUUUUCUUACCAGUUUUCGUAAGAAAGAGUUGUAUGUGAUACAAUCAAAGUUUUGUCGAUCCUAAGGAUGCUAAAAGGUAUGCUGGCUCCAGCGAUCCUUCUAUGGACUAGAGCAAGCAUCUCGGAGUCAGAAUAUAUGAUUUGAUGGAGUGAUCAAAGCUUUUAGGUUUAUACAAUGUUUUCUAGAAACUUGUAUUUACAAGAAAGUGAGUGGGAGCACUACAACAUUUCUGAUAAGUAUAUGUGGAUGACAUAUUGUUGAUCCGAAAUAAUGUAGAAUUUCUGGAAAGCAUAAACGGUUGUUUGAAGAGUGAUUUUCAAAGGAAGACCUGGAUGAAGCCGCUUACAUAUUGGGCAUCAAGAUCUAUAGAGAUAGAUCAAGAUGCCUGAUGAUACUUUCAAAGAACGCACACCUUGACAUGAUUUUGAAGGAGUUCAAAAUAGAUCAGUUAAAGAAGGGAUUCUUACCUAAGUUGUAAGGUGUGAAGUUGAGUAAGACUCAAAGCUUGACCACGGCAGAAGAAAGAGGAAGGACGAAGGUCGUCCCCUAUGCUUUUGUCAUAGGCUCUAUACGGUAUUCCAUGCUGAGUACCGCACCUGAUGUGUGCCUUGCCACAUGUCUGGCAAGAGGGUGCAAAGGUGAUCUAGGAGUGGAUCACCAGAUAGCGGUCAAAAUUAUCCUUAGAGGAAUAAGGAAAUGUUUCUCGGUUAUGGAGGUGAUAAAGAGUUCGACGUAAAGAGUUACAUCGAUGCAAGCUUAACACCUAUCCGGAUAGCUCUGAGUAGAGAUACCGGAUACGUAUAAUGGAGCAACAGUUUGGAAUAGCUCCAAGUGGAAUGUGGUAGCAGCAUCUACAAUAUGACAUAAAGUUUUGCAAAAUACAUAGGGAUCUGAAUAUUGCAGACCCGUUGACUACAACCUCUCUCACAAGCAUAACAUGAUCAAACCCAGAACUCAUUGAGUGUUAAUCACAUAGUGAUGUGAACUAGAUUAUUGACUCUAGUCUUUGGAUGUUGGUCACAUGGCGAUGUGACAUGUGAGUGUUAAUCACAUGGCGAUGUGAACUAGAUUAUUGACUCUAGUGCAAGUGGGAGACUGUUGGAAAUAUGCCCUAGAGGCAAUGAUAAAUUAGUUAUUAUUAUAUUAUAUUUCAUUGUUCAUGAUAAUCGUUUAUUAUCCAUGCUAGAAUUGUAUUAAUAGGAAACUCAGAUACAUGCGUGGAUACAUAGACAACACCAUGUCCCUAGUAAGCCUCUAGUUGACUAGCUCGUUGACCAAUAGAUGGUUACGGUUUCCUGACCAUGGACAUUGGAUGCGUUGAUAACGGGAUCACAUCAUUAGGAGAAUGAUGUGAUGGACAAGACCCAAUCCUAAGACUAGCACAAGAUCGUGUAGUUCGUAUGCCAAAGCUUUUCUAAUGUCAAGUAUCAUUUCCUUAGACCAUGAGAUUGUGCAACUCCCGGAUACCGUAGGAGUGCUUUGGGUGUGCCAAACGUCACAACGUAACUGGGUGUCUAUAAAGGUGCACUACGGGUAUCUCCGAAAGUGUCUGUUGGGUUGGCACGAAUCGAGACUGGGAUUUGUCACUCCGUGUAACGGAGAGGUAUCUCUGGGCCCACUCGGUAGGACAUCAUCAUAAUGUGCACAAUGUGACCAAGGAGUUGAUCACGGGAUGAUGUGUUACGAAAUGAGUAAAGAGACUUGCUGGUAACGAGAUUGAACAAGGUAUCGGGAUACCGACGAUCGAAUCUCGGGCAAGUGUCGUACCGAUAGACAAAGGGAAUUGUAUACGGGAUUGAUUGAAUCCUUGACAUCGUGGUUCAUCCGAUGAGAUCAUUGUGGAGCAUGUGGGAGCCAACAUGGGUAUCCAGAUCCCGCUGUUGGUUAUUGACCGGAGAGUUGUCUCGGCCAUGUCUGCAUGACUCCCGAGCCCGUAGGGUCUACACACUUAAGGUUCGAUGACGCUAGGGUUAUAGGGAAUAGAUGUAUGUGGUUACUGAAUGUUGUUCGGAGUCCCGGAUGAGAUCUCGGACGUCACGAGGAGUUUCGGAAUGGUCCGGAGGUAAAGAUUUAUAUAUGGGAAGUCAUCAUACGGUCACCAGAAUAAUUCGGGGGGUUACCGGUAUUGUACCGGGACCACCGAAGGGGUUCCGGGGGUCCACCGGGAGGGUCCACCUGCCCGGGAGGGCCCAAUGGGCUGUGUGUGGAGAGGGACCAGCCCCUUAGUGGGCUGGGCGCCUCCCCCUAGGGCCCAUGCGCCUAGGGUUUGGGGAACCCUAAAGGGGGGCGCAUCCCUUGCCUUGGGGGGCAAGGCAACCCCCCUGGCCGCCGCCCCCUCCUCAGAUUGGAUCUGAGGGGGCCGGGCCCCCUCUCCCUUGCCCCUAUAUAUAUGUGGGGGGUGGGAGGGCAUCUGCACCCAAGUUCUGACGCAGCCCUCCACCUCUCCCAAGUCCUCCUCCUCUCCCGCGGUGCUUGGCGAAGCCCUGCGGGAUUGCCACGCUGCUCCUUCACCACCACGCCGUCGUGCUGCUGCUGGAUGGAGUCUUCCCCAACCUCUCCUUCUCCCCUUGCUGGAUCAAGGCGUGGGAGACGUCACCGGGCUGCACGUGUGUUGAACGCGGAGGCGCCGUUGUUCGGCGCUUAGAUCGGAAUCAACCGCGAUCUGAAUCGCUGCGAGUACGACUCCUUCAUCCGCGUUCUUGCAACGCUUCCGCUUAGCGAUCUACAAGGGUAUGUAGAUGCACUCCCCUUUCCCUCGUUGCUAGAUUACUCCAUAGAUUGAUCUUGGUGAUGCGUAGAAAAUUUUAAAUUUCUGCUACGAUCCCCAACACUUGUUUCCUAUCAUUGCAAUACCGUUUAUGCUCACUUUUACCAUUAGUUACCUUGCUGUUUUUAUAAUUUCAGAUUACAAAAACCUAUAUCGACUAUCCAUAUUGCACUUGUAUCACCAUCUCUUCGCCGAACUAGUGCACCUAUACAAUUUACCAUUGUAUUGGGUGUGUUGGGGACACAAGAGACUCUUUGUUAUUUGGUUGCAGGGUUGCUUGAGAGAGACCAUCUUCAUCCUACGCCUCCUACGGAUUGAUAAACCUUAGGUCAUCCACUUGAGGGAAAUUUGCUACUGUCCUACAAACCCCUGCACUUGGAGGCCCAACAACGUCUACAAGAAGAAGGUUGUGUAGUAGACAUCAGUGGGCUGUUGGACUCGCUCCAUGGAGAAGGGAGUGAGACCGGUCGACUGACCAGGAGUCGGUUGGUCCUUGUAGUAGAACCAGGUCGACUGCCAUCCUCUAACUGACUCGGAAAGGAUCACAACUGGAAAAGCACUUUUACUUCUCAUCAGGAUACCUAGGCCUCCACACAUCUGGAUCACAUGAGUCUUCUCAUCAUUCGGAUUAGCUUUUUUCACGGACUGAAAGGACAAGUGAAGAUGUGUUUGAAGAUACCUAGUGCGGUCGACAGCCCAUGAAAUUUUCACACAUGGAAACGAAUGCAGCAAGGUACGUGAUGGUGUUGGGGGAAAAUGAUGAAGUUGGGCUCCAAAGAAGUUCAGAAAACCCCGAAAGGAAGGAUGGGGAGGCAGAGAAAAUCCACGGUCAACGUGAGUCGCAAGGAGGACGCACUCACCCUCCUACGGUUGUGGCUCGAUCUCAUUGCCAGGAAGCCUCCAAGAUCCAUGGGCAAUCAAACUGUAACACCCUCGAUGUGACUAUAUCUCCCACGUGUCGAGGCACGACUUAGAGUCAUAAACGCAUUGAAGGCAUAUGUCGCAAGUUAGGCAAUCUUCACAACAUCCCAUGUAAUAUAGAUAAUAAAAGGGGAGAUAACAUAGUUGGCUUACACUCGCCACGUCAAUCAAGUACAUAAAUAACACUACAUCAUUCAGACACUCAUGGCCCAACUAUGGCGCCAAAAAUAAAAGAUAACCCAACAUGCGACAUGGUCCCGAUCACCCCCAACUGGGCACCCCUACUAAUCAUCAGGAAAGGAAACAUAGUAUCGUUGAGAGUCCUCGUCGAACUCCCACUUGAGCUCGAGCAUGUCACCUGGAGCGGAAUCAUCAGGCCCUGCAUCUGGUGUAAGAGUAAUCUAUGAGCCACAAGGACUCAGCAAUCUCGCACCCUCGCGAUCAAGACUAUUUAAGCUUAAUAGGUAUGGCAAGGUAAAUAUAUGUGGAGCUACAGCAAGCGACUAGCAUAUGUGGUGUCUAUCCUAUUCGCAACGAGAGCGAGAAGAGGAGGCAAAGCGCGAGCGAGAAACUAGAGAGCAACCUGCGCAAGCAUUACUCCAACACCGUGUCCACUUCUCGGACUCCGCCGAGAAGAGGCCAUCACGGUAACACACUCAGUUGAUUCAUUUUAAUUAAGUUAAGGUUCAAGUUAUCUACAACCGGACAUUAACAAAUUCCCAUCUGCCCAUAACCGCAGGCACGGCUUUCGAAAGUUCAAAUCCCUGCAGGGGAGUCCCAACUUAGCCCAUGACAAGCUCUCAUUGUCAACGAAGGAAUAGACCUCCUCCCGAGACGUUCAGAUCAGACUCAGUAUCUCGGUUCUUCAAGACACUUCGACAGGUUAAAACAAAUCCAGCAACACCACCCGAAUGUGCCGACAAAUCCUGAUAGGAGCUGCACAUAUCUCGUUCUCAGGGCACACUCAGAUGAGACUAGCUACGGGUAAAACCAACCCUCAAGUUGCCCCGAGGUGGCCCCGCAGGCAGCUCAGUCGAACCAACACUCAGAGGAGCACUGGCCCGGGGGGGUUAAAUAAGAUGACCCUCGGGCUCCGGAAACCCAAGGGAAAAAAGGCUAGGUGGCAAAUGGUAAAACCAAGGUUGGGCAUUGCUGGAAAAGAUUUAAUCAAGGUGAACUAUCAAGGGGUUCCCAUUAUAACCCAACCGCGUAAGGAACGCAAAAUCCGGGAACAUAACACCGAUUUGACGGAAACUAGGGCGGCAACAGUGGAACAAAACACUAGGCGGGAGGCCGAGCCUUCCACCCUUUACCAAGUAUAUAGAUGCAUUAAGAUAACAUGGCAAUAUAAUGAUAUCCCAACAAUUAAAUAAAUGUUCCAACAAGGAACGGUCUCCAAUCUUCACCUGCAACUAACAACGCUAUAAGAGGGGCUGAGCAAAGCGGUAACAUAUCCAAUCAACGGUUUGCUAGGACAUGGUGGGUUAGAGGUUUGACAUGUCAAUUUGGGAGGCUUAAAAGCAAGUGGUAGGCAUCUUAGCAUUGGCAUAGCAAAAGAGCGAGCAUCUAGCAAAGCAAAGAUAGUAGUGAUUUCGAGGGUAUGGUCAUCUUGCCUGCAAAGUUGUCAGAGUUGAUUGGAUCCUCAAAAGCAAACUCAACGGGCUCCUCGUUAGCGAACUCAUCUCCCGGCUCUACCCAAAUAAGACAAAAAAAACAACAAGGACACAAUCAACCACGUGCAAAAGCUCAAACAAUAUGAUGCAAAGAUGGUAUGCUAUGCGGGAUGCGAUGCGGGAUGCAUAUGCAAGAUUUGACAAGGAUUGCAUGAACAUGGCCUUAACUUGGGAAUCCAAGUGUGCCACUGGAAAGGUGAGAUGAAAUCGCUUGAGAACGAUAUAAAGAACGCCGGAAUCGGAGUUACUGUUUGGAAAUGGCAAGCGAUUCAAAUAUGACCACGUUCUACGAUUUACAACAAGUAGCCAUCUAAAUGCAAUGAGAUGAAUAUGCUACAGCACCCAAACAUGGCAAAAAUACAUGGCAGGGAUGCAUUCAAGAUUCUUAACAAAAGUCUAGCACUGAGCUACGGCCAAAUCAUCCAUUAACAGGUUCAAACAAGCAUGGCAAAAAUGCAUAUGGUAAACAGAUCUCAGACUUAGUGAAAUUAACACUUGUCUGGAAUUUCAGAUCAGGUAGCACACUUCGGAGCAACAAAACUAUAUGCUACAGGACCUGAACAUGGCAAAGUAAAGCAUGGCAUAGAGCUACUCAAAGAGCUUAACAAAAGUCCCUUAGUGACCUUGAGCCAAAAGGGAUCACAAAACAUAAUUGCAAGCAUGUGAACAUGGCAAAAACAUAAUCAGAUCCCAGACUUAGUAAAAACUGGAGUAUGCUGAAACAAAUAUCAAGUAAGCAUGUUUACGAGCUCGAUGCACUCACUACAGAGCAAGUCAUGACAAGCUAAGCAUACACCCAUCAAGAAUACAGAAAAUUCAAGCUAGACAUAGCAAGAACAAUAGCAUAGCAUGCACGGAUCAACUAAAACACCCUCGGCAAAAUCGCUAACAAGUAGACAAUCUGCCUAGAUUCAUGAAGUAGCAAAAGUAGAGCUCGAUUGACUCAAGCUAGGGUGCUCCAUAAUUGCAAACAAAGACAUGGAUGGAUAGAGCACUACCAGAUUAACAAAACAUCCUUACUGAUUAUCCUCAAAAGAGGCACGGAUCUCUAGGAAACAACAUGAACAUAUGGCCAUAUGAGAUAAACAGCUCAAGGACUUGGUGGAAAUGCUAAGUCCCUGAAAUCAGCAUUACCAAGUGCCUCACUUUGCAAGCUUGUGCUAGUCACCACACACAUCACAAAAAUACAUGGGUUGCACCUCUAGAAAUAUGGCAAAACCCCUAACAAAACAUAUGUAGAACUCAUGGGCAUAUCAUGCACACAAUAAUCAUGGCAAAAAUGACAAAUAUCUAAAUGGAGCAGCAGAUCUGACAAUUAUCUCAAGUAGCACUCUUCUAACAGCAUUUCAGGCAUCAAGAUGAACUCAAAUGAAAAUGAUGCAAUGAGAAGAAAUGAUGUGCUCUCUGAGGCGAACAUUUUGAUAUGCUAUAUGCCCAAAAUAAAGCUACGGAUGCAAAGUUACGGCACGAUGAACAUGGCAAUAUGAACUAGGGUUUCGGGAGAAAGUCAACCGAGAUUUAAAUCUCAGAUCCAGAUCCGGGCUUCACGCGAAACGAGGUUCGCCGGAACUUCGCCGGAAUCAUCGAGGAACUUGCCGGGGCGCCGGAUCCGGGCGGCGAGGGGCCGGAGCGCUUGCCGGAGUGAGGAGGACGGCGAGGCGGCGGCGGGCGCGGGCACCGGCGGGCGGCGGNNNNNNNNNNNNNNNNNNNNNNNNNNNNNNNNNNNNNNNNNNNNNNNNNNNNNNNNNNNNNNNNNNNNNNNNNNNNNNNNNNNNNNNNNNNNNNNNNNNNNNNNNNNNNNNNNNNNNNNNNNNNNNNNNNNNNNNNNNNNNNNNNNNNNNNNNNNNNNNNNNNNNNNNNNNNNNNNNNNNNNNNNNNNNNNNNNNNNNNNNNNNNNNNNNNNNNNNNNNNNNNNNNNNNNNNNNNNNNNNNNNNNNNNNNNNNNNNNNNNNNNNNNNNNNNNNNNNNNNNNNNNNNNNNNNNNNNNNNNNNNNNNNNNNNNNNNNNNNNNNNNNNNNNNNNNNNNNNNNNNNNNNNNNNNNNNNNNNNNNNNNNNNNNNNNNNNNNNNNNNNNNNNNNNNNNNNNNNNNNNNNNNNNNNNNNNNNNNNNNNNNNNNNNNNNNNNNNNNNNNNNNNNNNNNNNNNNNNNNNNNNNNNNNNNNNNNNNNNNNNNNNNNNNNNNNNNNNNNNNNNNNNNNNNNNNNNNNNNNNNNNNNNNNNNNNNNNNNNNNNNNNNNNNNNNNNNNNNNNNNNNNNNNNNNNNNNNNNNNNNNNNNNNNNNNNNNNNNGGCGUGGGGCGCGUCGGCGGCGGCAAUCGACGACAUGGACGGAGCCGGGGGAGAAGAUCCCGGGCGGCGGCGGGCGGCAAUGGGCCUCGGGGGGCCCUCCUGGGCCUCCCGGGCCGGCGGCAACGGGGGAGUGGGGCGGCGGCACGGCCAACCCGCGGGCGACACGUGGCGGCGGCGGGGAUAGCCGGACAUGUCCGUCGGUGGCCAUUUUUGUCCGGCGGCGGCAAAUGAAAUGGAUCUAGGGUUUCGGGGAGGAGAAAGAGAAUUUCGGAGGGGGUUCUUUAAAUAGGCAUAGAGGGAGCUAGGAGAGUCCAAAAGAGGUGCGGUUUUCGGCCACGCGAUCGUGAUCGAACGCUCUAGAUGAUGGAGAAGAUUUUGGAGGGUUCUUUAAAUAGGCAUAGAGGCAGCAAGACAAUGUUCUCAUCAUAAAACCAUCGGAACGAUUCCAAGAUACCCGCGUGAUCCUAAUUUUUUUUUUAUGAAAUUUGAGAAGAGAAGAGUCAAAACUCUACGUCAGGAUGCCUUACCAGAGCGAUGAGGAGACUGGGAAGUAAAAAGAAUUCCUAAACUCUCCGAUAUAUAAUUCCUAAAUGACUCAAAACAUUUUUCUAGACACAACUCGGCCGCUAAAAACGAUCAAGCAAUGGAGCUCCUAAGGUCGGGGAAGGCUCUGAUUACCAACUUGUAACACCCUCGAUGCGACUAUAUCUCCCACGUGUCGAGGCACGACUUAGAGGCAUAAUCGCAUUGAAGGCAUAUGUCGCAAGUUAGGCAAUCUUCACAACAUCCCAUGUAAUAUAGAUAAUAAAAGGGGAGAUAACAUAGUUGGCUUACACUCGCCACGUCAAUCAAGUACAUAAAUAACAUUACAUCAUUCAGACACUCAUGGCCCGACUACGGCGCCAAAAAUAAAAGAUAACUCAACAUGCGACACGGUCCUGAUCACCCCCAACUGGGCACCCCUACUGAUCAUCAGGAAAGGAAACAUAGUAUCGUUGAGAGUCCUCGUCGAACUCCCACUUGAGCUCGAGCAUGUCACCUGGAGCGGAAUCAUCAGGCCCUGCAUCUGGUGUAAGAGUAAUCUAUGAGCCACAAGGACUCAGCAAUCUCGCACCCUCGCGAUCAAGACUAUUUAAGCUUAAUAGGUAUGGCAAGGUAAAUAUAUGUGGAGCUACAGCAAGCGACUAGCAUAUGUGGUGUCUAUCCUGUUCGCAACGAGAGCGAGAAGAGGAGGCAAAGCGCGAGCGAGAAACUAGAGAGCAACCUGCGCAAGCAUUACUCCAACACCGUGUCCACUUCUCGGACUCCGCCGAGAAGAGGCCAUCACGGUAACACACUCAGUUGAUUCAUUUUAAUUAAGUUAAGGUUCAAGUUAUCUACAACCGGACAUUAACAAAUUCCCAUCUGCCCAUAACCGCAGGCACGGCUUUCAAAAGUUCAAAUCCCUGCAGGGGAGUCCCAACUUAGCCCAUGACAAGCUCUCACGGUCAACGAAGGAAUAGACCUCCUCCCGUGACGUUCCGAUCAUACUCGGUAUCUCGGUUCUUCAAGACACUUCGACAGGUUAAAACAAAUCCAGCAACACCGCCCGAAUGUGCCGACAAAUCCCGAUAGGAGCUGCACAUAUCUCGUUCUUAGGGCACACUUAGAUGAGACUAGCUACGGGUAAAACCAACCCUCAAGUUGCCCCGAGGUGGCCCCGCAGGCAGCUCAGUCAGACUAACACUCAGAGGAGCACUGGCCUGGGGGGGGGGGGUUUAAAUAAGAUGACCCUCGGGCUCUGGAAACCCAAGGGAAAAAAGGCUAGGUGGCAAAUGGUAAAACCAAGGUUGGGCAUUGCUGGAAAAGCUUUAAUCAAGGCGAACUAUCAAGGGGUUACCAUUAUAACCCAACCGCGUAAGGAACGCAAAAUCUGGGAACAUGACACCGAUUUGAUGAAAACUAGGGCGGCAAGAGUGGAACAAAACACUAGGCGAGAGGACGAGCCUUCCACCCUUUACCAAGUAUAUAUAUGCAUUAAGAUAACACGACAAUAUAAUGAUAUCCCAACAAUUAAAUAAAUGUUCCAACAAGGAACAGUCUCCAAUCUUCACCUGCAACUAACAACGCUAUAAGAGGGGCUGAGCAAAGCGGUAACAUAGCCAGUCAACGGUUUGCUAGGACAUGGUGGGUUAGAGGUUUGACAUGGCAAUUUGGGAGGCUUUAAAGCAAGUGGUAGGCAUCAUAGCAUUGGCAUAGCAAAAGAGCGAGCAUCUAGCAAAGCAAAGAUAGUAGUGAUUUCGAGGGUAUGGUCAUCUUGCCUGCAAAAUUGUCAGAGUUGACUGGAUCCUCGAAAGCAAACUCAACGGGCUCCUCGUUAGCGAACUCGUCUCCCAGCUCUACCCAAACAAGACAAACAAGCAACAAGGACACAAUCAACCACGUGCAAAAGCUCAAACAAUAUGAUGCAAAGAUGGUAUGCUAUGCGGGAUGCGAUGCGGGAUGCAUAUGCAAGAUUUGACAAGGAAUGAAUGAACCUGGCCUCAACUUAGGAAUCCAAGUGUGCCACUGGAAAGGUGAGAUGAAAUCGCUUGAAAACGAUAUAAAGAACGCCGGAAUCGGAGUUACGGUUUGGAAAUGGCAAGCGAUUCAAAUAUGACCAUGUUCUGCGAUUUACAACAAGUAGCCAUCUAAAUGCAAUGAGAUGAACAUGCUACAGCACCCAAACAUGGCAACAAAAUACACGGAAGGGAUGCAUUCAAUAUGCUUAACAAAACUAUAUCACUGAGCUACGGCCAAAUCAUCCAUUAACAGGUUCAAACAAGCAUGGCAAAAAUGCAUAUGGUAAACAGAUCUCAGACUUAGUGAAAUUAACACUUGUCUGGAAUUUCAGAUCAGGUAGCACACUUCGGAGCAACAAAACUAUAUGCUACAGGACCUGAACAUGGCAAAGUAAAGCAUGGCAUAGAGCUACUCAAAGAGCUUAACAAACGUCCCUUAGUGACCUUGAGUCAAAAGGGAUCAGAAAAUACAAUUGUAAGCAUGUGAACAUGGCAAAAACAUUAUCAGAUCUCAGACUUAGUAAAAACUGGAGCAUGCUGAAACAGAUAUCAAGUAGGCAUGUUUACGAGCUCGAUGCACUCACUAUAGAGCAAGUCAUGACAAGCUAAGCAUACACCCAUCAAGAAUACACAAAAUGCAAGCUAGACAUGACAAGAACAAUAGCAUAGCAUGCACGGAUCAACUAUAACAUCCUCGGCAAAAUCGCUAACAAGUAGACAAUCUGCCCAGAUUCAUGAAGUAGCAAAAGUAGAGCUCGAUUGACUCAAUCUAGGGUGCUCCAUAAUUUCAAACAAAGACAUGGAUGGAUAGAGCAGUACAAGAUUAACAAAACAUCCUUACUGAUCAUCCUCAAAAGAGGCACGGAUCUCUAGGAAACAACAUGAACAUAUGGCCAUAUGAGAUAAACAGCUCAAGGACUUAGUGGAAAUGCUAAGUCCCUGAAAACAGCAUUACCAAGUGCCUCACUUUGCAAGCUUGUGCUAGUCACCACACACAUCACAAAAAUACAUGGGUUGCACCUCUGGAAAGAUGGCAAAACCCCUAACAAAACAUAUGUAGAACUCAUGGGCAUAUCAUGCACACAAUAAUCAUGGCAAAAAUGACAAAUAUCUAAAUGGAGCAGCAGAUCUGACAAUUAUCUCAAGUAGCACUCUUCUAACAGCAUUUCGGGCAUGAAGAUGAACUCAAAUGAAAAUGAUGCAAUGAGAUGAAAUGAUGUGCUCUCUGAGGCGAACAUUUUGAUAUGCCAUAUGCCCAAAACGGAGCUACGGAUGCAAAGUUAUGGCACGAUGAACAUGGCAAUAUGAACUAGGGUUUCGGGAGAAAGUCAACCGAGAUUUAAAUCUCAGAUCCAGAUACGGGCUUCACGCGAAACGAGGUUCGCCGGAACUUCGCCGGAAUCGUCGAGGAACUUUCCGGGGCGCCGGAUCCGGGUGGCGAGGGGCCGGAGCGCUUGCCGGAGCGAGGAGGACGGCGAGNNNNNNNNNNNNNNNNNNNNNNNNNNNNNNNNNNNNNNNNNNNNNNNNNNNNNNNNNNNNNNNNNNNNNNNNNNNNNNNNNNNNNNNNNNNNNNNNNNNNNNNNNNNNNNNNNNNNNNNNNNNNNNNNNNNNNNNNNNNNNNNNNNNNNNNNNNNNNNNNNNNNNNNNNNNNNNNNNNNNNNNNNNNNNNNNNNNNNNNNNNNNNNNNNNNNNNNNNNNNNNNNNNNNNNNNNNNNNNNNNNNNNNNNNNNNNNNNNNNNNNNNNNNNNNNNNNNNNNNNNNNNNNNNNNNNNNNNNNNNNNNNNNNNNNNNNNNNNNNNNNNNNNNNNNNNNNNNNNNNNNNNNNNNNNNNNNNNNNNNNNNNNNNNNNNNNNNNNNNNNNNNNNNNNNNNNNNNNNNNNNNNNNNNNNNNNNNNNNNNNNNNNNNNNNNNNNNNNNNNNNNNNNNNNNNNNNNNNNNNNNNNNNNNNNNNNNNNNNNNNNNNNNNNNNNNNNNNNNNNNNNNNNNNNNNNNNNNNNNNNGCGUCGGCAGCGGUGACUGGCGACGUGGCAGGAGCCGGGGGAGAAGAUCCCGGGUGGCGGCGGGCGACAAUGGGCCUCGGGGGCCCCUCCUGGGCCUCCCGGGCCGGCGGCGACGGGGGAGUGGGGCGGCGGUGCGGCCAACCUGCGGGCGACAUGUGGCGGCGGCAGGGCUAGCCGGACAUGUCCGUCGGUGGCUAUUUUUGUCCGGCGGCGGCGGAUGAAAUGGAUCUAGGGUUUCGGGGGAGGAGAAAGAGAAUUUCGGAGGGGGUUCUUUAAAUAGGCAUAGAGGGAGUUAGGAGAGUCCAAAAGAGGUGCGGUUUUCGGCCACGCGAUCGUGAUCGAACGCUCUAGAUGAUGGAGAAGGUUUUGGAGGGUUUUGGGCCAACUUGGAGGGGUGUUGGGCUGCAACACACACGAGGCCUUUUCGGUCCCUCGGUAACCGUUGGAGUAUCAAACGAAGUCCAAAUGAUACGAAACUUGACAGGCGGUCUACCGGUAGUAAACCAAGGCCGCUUGGCAAGUCUCGAUCCAAUCCGGAAAUGUUUAAUCCCCACACAUGAAAGAAAAGUAGAAAUGACCAUCGGAGGAGAACGAAGCGCCGGAAUGCAAAACGGACAACGGGGAAAAUGCUCGAAUGCAUGAGAUGCACACGUAUGCAAAUGCAAUGCACAUGAUGACAUGAUAUGAGAUGCAUGACAACGAAAAAAACACACGGAGACAAAGACCCAAACCCGGGAAAAUAAAGUAACUUAACGCCGGAAACGGCAAGAGUUGGAAUACAUAUUGGGUAAGUUACAACUAGGGUGUUACAACACUCCACCACUAUGAAAGGAUCUCAUCCUGAGAUCUAGGACUGAAAGAACAUCGGGUACUCAGAACGGAGGUGAUCCUCGCGUUCCCAGGUAGCUUCACGGUCAGAAUGGUGUGACCACUUGACUUUGAGGAAUUUGAUUGACUUGUUACGAGUCUUGCGUUCAGUCUCUUCAAGAAUAGCAACGGGGUGCUCACGAUAAGAGAGAUCUUCUUGGAGCUCAAUGUCCUCGAAGUUGACAGUGCGGUCAGGAGUCUUGAAGCACUUUCGGAGCUGAGAGACAUGGAACACAUCAUGAACAUUUGCAAAGUUUGAAGGAAGCUCUAGUUGAUAGGCAAGAUCGCCUCUCUUGCUGACAAUCUUGAAAGGUCCCACGUAUCUGGGGGCAAGCUUCCCUUUGAUACCGAAGCGACGAGUACCUUUCAUAGGAGAUACGCGGAGGUAAACAUGAUCUUCGAUCUCGAAAGCCAAAUCACGGUGCUUACUGUCAUAGUAGCUCUUCUGACGGGAUUGGGCUGCUUUGAGGUUAUCUCGAAUGACUUUGCACAUUUCCUCUGCCUCUGUGAUUAAGUCAUUUCCGAGAAGCUGACGUUCACCGGUUUCGGACCAGUUGAGUGGGGUACGGCACUUCCUGCCAUACAGAAUUUCAAAUGGGGCCUUGCCCAAAUUUGCUUGAAAACUGUUGUUGUAGGAGAAUUCAGCAUAAGGAAGACAAUCCUCCCACUUCAUGCCGAAGGAGAUCACACAAGCCCUGAGGAUAUCUUCAAGAAUCUGGUUGACAUGCUCGACUUGACCGCUAGUUUGAAGAUGGAAAGUUGUGCUGAAGCGGAUGUUGGUGCCCAUGGCCUUCUGAAAAGAAUCCCAAAACUUGGAGGUAAAGAUGCUGGCACGGUCUGAAGAGAUCACUUGUGGAAUACCGUGCAGAGAGACAAUCCGAGAGGUAUAGAGUUCCGCCAAUUGAUCUGCAAUGAUUGACUCUUUGAUAGGCAGAAAAUGAGCCACUUUAGUGAGUUUGUCGAUGACAACUAAUAUAGCAUCAUUGCCACGCUUGGACUUUGGAAACCCAGUCACGAAGUCCAUCUCAAUGUGGUCAAACUUCCAUUCUGGAAUGGCAAGAGGUUGGAGGAGACCAGUUGGUCUUUGGUGUUCUGCCUUCACUCUUCUGCAGACAUCACACUCAUUCACGAAUUGAGCAAUCUCGCGCUUCAUUCGAGUCCACCAAUAAGCCUGCUUAAGUUCCUGAUACAUCUUCGUACUCCCAGGGUGGAUGGAGAGGAGAGAAUUGUGAGCCUCAUUCAUGAUCACUUUACAAAGGUCACCUUUGGGUACAACAAUACGAUCCUCGAAGAAAAGAGUGUCCUUGUCAUCAAGGCGGUAGCACUUGUACUUGGGUUGACUCUUGGCAAUCCCAAUCUUCACCUUUUUCACCAUAGCAUCAAGAAUCUGGGCUUGGCGAAUCUGGUCUUCCAAGGUAAGAGAGACUUGAAGGUUGGCGAGGAAACCUUAAGGAACAACUUGCAGAUUAAGUUUGCGGAAAGCUUCACAAAGCUCGGGUUGAUAAGGCUUGAGAAUCAGGCUGUUGCAAUAAGCCUUUCUGCUCAAUGCGUCAGCAAUCACAUUGGCCUUGCCUGGAGUAUACUCGAUACUCGGAUUAUACUCUUGAAUCAUUUCGACCCAUCGAGUUUGCCUGAGGUUGAGAUUAGGCUGAGUGAAGAUGUACUUGAGACUCUUGUGGUCAGUGAAGAUGUCCACUUUUCUUCCCAAUAAGAGAUGUCUCCAAGUCAAAAGAGCAUGCACAACUGCCGCCAACUCGAGAUCAUGAGUGGGGUAGUUUUUUUCAUUGGGCUUCAACUGGUGAGAGGUAUAAGCAACAACUUUCUUCUCUUGCAUCAACACUGCGCCAAGACCUUGGAGAGAGGCAUCACAAAAGACCUCGUACGACUUGGAUUCAUCAGGCGGAGUUAGAACUAGAGCAGUGAUCAAUUUCUCUUUCAAAGUGUUGAAAGCAAUGUCACACUCCGGAGACCAAACGUACUUGACGUGCUUCUGAAGAAGAUUUGAGAGAGGCUUCGCGAUCUUAGAAAAGUUUUCAACGAAUCUUCGACAAUAGCUUGCGAGACCGAGGAAGCUACGGAGUUGCUUCACGUUCUGAGGAGGUUCCCAAUUCACAAUUGCAGACACCUUCUCAGGAUUCACGGCAAUGCCCUUGGCAGAGAUGAUAUGACCAAGAUAAAGAACCUCAUCGAGCCAAAAUUCGCACUUGGAGAACUUGGCGUAGAACUUGUGUUCCCUCAGCUUAUCGAGUACCAAACGCAAGUGCUUGGCAUGAUCUUCCUUGUUCUUCGAGAAAACCAGAAUGUCGUCGAGAUAGACCAAAACGAAGUCAUUGGUGUAGGCGUUGAAGAUGAAGUUCAUCAUGCGAGAGAACGUCGGAGGAGCGUUGACGAGGCCAAAAGACAUGACAGUGUACUCAUAUGAACCAUAGCUUGUCCUGAAAGCCGUCUUGGGAAUAUCUUGCUCACGGAUUCGAAUCUGAUGAUAACCCAUACGGAGAUCAAGCUUGGAGAAUACUUGGGCACCUUUGAGUUGUUCGAAUAGCUCAUUGAUGUUGGGAAGUGGGUAUUUGUUCUUGAUGGUCUUCUUGUUCAAUGGACGGUAAUCAACACAAAGUCGGUCCGUUCCAUCCUUCUUCUUCACAAAAAGAACACCACAACCCCACGGAGAAGAACUAGGCCGGAUGAGACCCAUUCUCUCUUGAAUAUCGAGUUGCUUCUUCAGCUCCUUCAACUCUUCAGGUCCGAGCUUGUAAGGACGCUUGCACACUGGUUCCGUGCCAGGCUCAAGAUUGAUGACAAAUUCAACUGGCCGGUGCGGAGGCAUUCCUGGAAGCUCUUCAGGAAAGACGUCUUGAUAUUUGCAAAUGACUAGAAUUUGCGAGAUGGCAUCGAGUUCACCCUUCUCAUUGAGAGAAAACAGACGGAUGGUAUUAUCCCGAGCGGCAAAGACAAUUACAUCCUCAGACGAAUGAGUCAAUUGAAUCUGCCUGGCAGCACAAUCAAGCUGAGCCUUGUGCUUAGAGAGCCAAUCCAUCCCGAGAAUAAGAUCAAUAUCUGAGUUACCAAGAACCAUCGGAGAAGCCAGAAACUUGAAAUCACCCAUUAAGAUAGAAAUAUCCGGAACCAUCAUACUAGAACUCAGACGCUUAGCCGGAGAGACGACUUGCAUAGCUCUAGGUAAUGCCUUAGUACUAAAAUUGUUCUCCGAUGCAAAUGGAAAUGACAUGAAGGAAUGCGAUGCACCAGAGUCAAAAAGUACUUUAGCUGGAAUAUCAUUAACAGGAAGGUUACCCAUGAUGACAUCUGACGAGUCCUCUGCCUGAGCUGCGUUCAUCAAGUCAACCUUGGCGUGCUUGGGGUUAUGCUUGACCACAGCUAUACUUGCCGAUUUGACAGGAGGAGGAGGAGGAAGACGCCUCUGGUUGAGACACUUGUUGGCAUAGUGACCCUUCUGUUGGCACUUGUUGCACGUGACCUCUGAAAGCGGACGGUGAUACGGAGCACUCGAUCUUGGAGCUUGAGACGAAGUCUUGUUGUGAAAGCCAGGGUUGGGUGGGUGGGAAGAUCCACUGCCACCUUUGCUCUUCUGCUGAUACGGCUGACGAAACGGAGGAGGAGGAAGCCAAUACUUCUGCUGCUUGGCCACUUGAGUAGAGGAAGAAGGAGUAGCAUCUCUGACUCGCUUCUUGGAAGCAUCACACCUCAAUUGAGUGGCCUCUUGCUUCAAUGCCAUGUUGUAGAACUCAUCGUACCUCAAGGGCUCAAAGAGAACAAGAGCUAGCAGAAUUUCUUCUCUGAGACCACCCCUGAACUGGUAUAUCAUGAUCUUCUCGUCAGGGACGUCCUGCUUAGCAAAGCGGGCGAGCUUCUGAAACAACUUGUUGUAGUCAUAGACAGACAAAGAGCCUUGCUUCAGGUUGCGGAAUUCCUCACGCUUGCUUUCAACCAUGCUCUGAGGGAUAUGGUGAGCUCUGAAAUCUUGACGGAAUUCAUCCCAAGUGAUAACACGUCCACCUCUGGAAUCCUUGUACUGCUGGAACCACUCUACGGCUUGGUCUUUGAGUUGGAAGGAAGCGAACUUGACGAAGUCCUCAGGCCUGACGUUACUGCACUCGAAAUGCUUGCACAGAUCCACGAGCCAAUCGUCAGCAUCGGUUGCCUCAACACAAUUGCUGAAGUCUUUGGCCCGUUAGCAAGGAACUGGUUGAGUGUAGCAAAGUGAUUCUGAUUGUUGCAUUGGUUCCCUUGAUUGCGCUCUUGGAGAAUUUGCAUGAUCAAAUGUGUGUUUGCAUUGGUUGCGGCCAUCACAGCUUGCCAUGCCUCCGGAGGAGGUGGAGGUGGUGGCGGAUCCUGAUUCUGAUUCUGUUUGGUGCUCUUAGCGGGAGCCAUCCUGAAGAGGUUGACCACUGUUAGCACAUAGACAGAUAAAUGAAGCUGAAUCCAACGGAAUGAAAAUUGCAACAUAAAGUCUUCACAUCCGAACAAAAUGAACGAAUGCAUUCCUCUUGACAUGGUCACAUAUCCAUAAAUUGAGAAGCCACUUAGAAUUUAGGUAGAGAAAUAAAUCAACAAGGUAUGGAUCAGGAACGAAUACUCGGUAAGAAAUCCCAAUCUCAAACCAAAUAUCCGUGGAAGAAGAACUAGAGCUACAAGAAUUCCCACCUAUGAAACUCCCGAACCUUUCCGGUUAUGCAAUUAAGUGUUGGGGAUACAGGGGAAGCAUAAUAUCUCACCCAAAUCUAGCAAAUCCUACAUCCAGCUGUAUCCAUCCUUCAACACAUAACCGAGAAAAACUUCGGAAACCAUCUACCUCAACCUUCGAAAAGCAUCCGUUAUACAAGUUAUGGCGAUACUCCCGAACUCCCGGCCCAGUACUGGGUGGCGUCGAGGUUAUCUCACCAACGAACUGCAUAAAAGAGAUUUUCGAUGUCGGCGUACUAAACUCAGGUAUUCCAGAACUGCAAUGAUAAAAUUAUGACGACAACACCUCAGAGCUCAACUCCCCGGGACACUUCCACAAAACCCCUGACAGGAGGCAGCAAGACAAUGUUCUCAUCAUAAAACCAUCGGAACGAUUCCAAGAUACCCGCGUGAUCCUAAAUUUUUUUUUUGUGGAAUUUGAGAAGAGAAGAGUCAAAACUCUACGUCAGGAUGCCUUACCAGAGCGAUGAGGAGACUGGGAAGUAAAAAGAAUUCCUAAACUCUCCGAUAUAUAAUUCCUAAAUGACUCAAAACAUUUUUCUAGACACAACUCGGCCGCUAAAAACGAUCAAGCAAUGGAGCUCCUAAGGUCGGGGAAGGCUCUGAUUACCAACUUGUAACACCCUCGAUGCGACUAUAUCUCCCACGUGUCGAGGCACGACUUGGAGGCAUAAUCGCAUUGAAGGCAUAUGUCGCAAGUUAGGCAAUCUUCACAACAUCCCAUGUAAUAUAGAUAAUAAAAGGGGAGAUAACAUAGUUGGCUUACACUCGCCACGUCAAUCAAGUACAUAAAUAACAUUACAUCAUUCAGACACUCAUGGCCCGACUACGGCGCCAAAAAUAAAAGAUAACCCAACAUGCGACACGGUCCCGAUCACCCCCAACUGGGCACCCCUACUGAUCAUCAGGAAAGGAAACAUAGUAUCGUUGAGAGUCCUCGUCGAACUCCCACUUGAGCUCGAGCGUGUCACCUGGAGCGGAAUCAUCAGGCCCUGCAUCUGGUGUAAUAGUAAUCUAUGAGCCACAAGGACUCAGCAAUCUCGCACCCUCGCGAUCAAGACUAUUUAAGCUUAAUAGGUAUGGCAAGGUAAAUAUAUGUGGACCUACAGCAAGCGACUAGCAUAUGUGGUGGCUAUCCUGUUCGCAACGAGAGCGAGAAGAGGAGGCAAAGCGCGAGCGAGAAACUAGAGAGCAACCUGCGCAAGCAUUACUCCAACAUCGUGACCACUUCCCGGACUCCGCCGAGAAGAGGCCAUCACGGUAACACACUCAGUUGAUUCAUUUUAAUUAAGUUAAGGUUCAAGUUAUCUACAACCGGACAUUAACAAAUUCCCAUCUGCCCAUAACCGCAGGCACGGCUUUCGAAAGUUCAAAUCCCUGCAGGGGAGUCCCAACUUAGCCCAUGACAAGCUCUCACGGUCAACGAAGGAAUAGACCUCCUCCCGUGACGUUCUGAUCAUACUCGGUAUCUCGGUUCUUCAAGACACUUCGACAGGUUAAAACAAAUCCAGCAACACCGCCCGAAUGUGCCGACAAAUCCCGAUAGGAGCUGCACAUAUCUCGUUCUCAGGGCACACUCAGAUGAGACUAGCUACGGGUAAAACCAACCCUCAAGUUGCCCCGAGGUGGCCCCGCAGGCAGCUCAGUCAGACUAACACUCAGAGGAGCACUGGCCUGGGUGGGUUUAAAUAAGAUGACCCUCGGGCUCCGGAAACCCAAGGGAAAAAAGGCUAGGUGGCAAAUGGUAAAACCAAGGUUGGGCAUUGCUGGAAAAGCUUUAAUCAAGGCGAACUAUCAAGGGGUUACCAUUAUAACCCAACCGCGUAAGGAACGCAAAAUCUGGGAACAUGACACCGAUUUGAUGAAAACUAGGGCGGCAAGAGUGGAACAAAACACUAGGCGAGAGGCCGAGCCUUCCACCCUUUACCAAGUAUAUAGAUGCAUUAAGAUAACACGGCAAUAUAAUGAUAUCCCAACAAUUAAAUAAAUGUUCCAACAAGGAACAGUCUCCAAUCUUCACCUGCAACUAACAACGCUAUAAGAGGGGCUGAGCAAAGCGGUAACAUAGCCAAUCAACGGUUUGCUAGGACAUGGUGGGUUAGAGGUUUGACAUGGCAAUUUGGGAGGCUUUAAAGCAAGUGGUAGGCAUCGUAGCAUUGGCAUAGCAAAAGAGCGAGCAUCUAGCAAAGCAAAGAUAGUAGUGAUUUCGAGGGUAUGGUCAUCUUGCCUGCAAAAUUGUCAGAGUUGACUGGAUCCUCGAAAGCAAACUCAACGGGCUCCUCGUUAGCGAACUCGUCUCCCAGCUCUACCCAAACAAGACAAACAAACAACAAGGACACAAUCAACCACGUGCAAAAGCUCAAACAAUAUGAUGCAAAGAUGGUAUGCUAUGCGGGAUGCGAUGCGGGAUGCAUAUGCAAGAUUUGACAAGGAAUGAAUGAACCUGGCCUCAACUUAGGAAUCCAAGUGUGCCACUGGAAAGGUGAGAUGAAAUCGCUUGAAAACGAUAUAAAGAACGCCGGAAUCGGAGUUACGGUUUGGAAAUGGCAAGCGAUUCAAAUAUGACCCCGUUCUGCGAUUUACAACAAGUAGCCAUCUAAAUGCAAUGAGAUGAACAUGCUACAGCACCCAAACAUGGCAACAAAAUACAUGGAAGGGAUGCAUUCAAUAUGCUUAACAAAACUAUAGCACUGAGCUACGGCCAAAUCAUCCAUUAACAGGUUCAAACAAGCAUGGCAAAAAUGCAUAUGGUAAACAGAUCUCAGACUUAGUGAAAUUAACACUUGUCUGGAAUUUCAGAUCAGGUAGCACACUUCGGAGCAACAAAACUAUAUGCUACAGGACCUGACAUGGCAAAGUAAAGCAUGGCAUAGAGCUACUCAAAGAGCUUAACAAACGUCCCUUAGUGACCUUGAGUCAAAAGGGAUCAGAAAAUACAAUUGUAAGCAUGUGAACAUGGCAAAAACAUUAUCAGAUCUCAGACUUAGUAAAAACUGGAGCAUGCUGAAACAGAUAUCAAGUAGGCAUGUUUACGAGCUCGAUGCACUCACUACAGAGCAAGUCAUGACAAGCUAAGCAUACACCCAUCAAGAAUACACAAAAUGCAAGCUAGACAUGACAAGAACAAUAGCAUAGCAUGCACGGAUCAACUAUAACAUCCUCGGCAAAAUCGCUAACAAGUAGACAAUCUGCCCAGAUUCAUGAAGUAGCAAAAGUAGAGCUUGAUUGACUCAAUCUAGGGUGCUCCAUAAUUUCAAACAAAGACAUGGAUGGAUAGAGCACUACAAGAUUAACAAAACAUCCUUACUGAUCAUCCUCAAAAGAGGCACGGAUCUCUAGGAAACAACAUGAACAUAUGGCCAUAUGAGAUAAACAGCUCAAGGACUUGGUGGAAAUGCUAAGUCCCUGAAAUCAGCAUUACCAAGUGCCUCACUUUGCAAGCUUGUGCUAGUCACCACACACAUCACAAAAAUACAUGGGUUGCACCUCUGGAAAGAUGGCAAAACCCCUAACAAAACAUAUGUAGAACUCAUGGGCAUAUCAUGCACACAAUAAUCAUGGCAAAAAUGACAAAUAUCUAAAUGGAGCAGCAGAUCUGACAAUUAUCUCAAGUAGCACUCUUCUAACAGCAUUUCGGGCAUGAAGAUGAACUCAAAUGAAAAUGAUGCAAUGAGAUGAAAUGAUGUGCUCUCUGAGGCGAACAUUUUGAUAUGCUAUAUGCCCAAAACGGAGCUACGGAUGCAAAGUUACGACACGAUGAACAUGGCAAUAUGAACUAGGGUUUCGGGAGAAAGUCAACCGAGAUUUAAAUCUCAGAUCCAGAUACGGGCUUCACACGAAACGAGGUUCACCGGAACUUCGCCGGAAUCGCCGAGGAACUUUCCGGGGCGCCGGAUCCGGGUGGCGAGGGGCCGGAGCGCUUGCCGGAGUGAGGAGGACGGCGAGGCGCCGGCGGGCGGCGGGGCGAGGCGCGGGCACCGGCGGGUGGNNNNNNNNNNNNNNNNNNNNNNNNNNNNNNNNNNNNNNNNNNNNNNNNNNNNNNNNNNNNNNNNNNNNNNNNNNNNNNNNNNNNNNNNNNNNNNNNNNNNNNNNNNNNNNNNNNNNNNNNNNNNNNNNNNNNNNNNNNNNNNNNNNNNNNNNNNNNNNNNNNNNNNNNNNNNNNNNNNNNNNNNNNNNNNNNNNNNNNNNNNNNNNNNNNNNNNNNNNNNNNNNNNNNNNNNNNNNNNNNNNNNNNNNNNNNNNNNNNNNNNNNNNNNNNNNNNNNNNNNNNNNNNNNNNNNNNNNNNNNNNNNNNNNNNNNNNNNNNNNNNNNNNNNNNNNNNNNNNNNNNNNNNNNNNNNNNNNNNNNNNNNNNNNNNNNGACGUGGCAGGAGCCGGGGGAGAAGAUCCCGGGUGGCGGCGGGCGGCAAUGGGCCUCGGGGGCCCCUCCUGGGCCUCCCGGGCCGGCGACGACGGGGGAGUGGGGCGGCGGCGCGGCCAACCCGCGGGCGACAUGUGGCGGCGGCAGGGCUAGGCGGACAUGUCCGUCGGUGGCUGUUUUUGUCCGGCGGUGGCGGAUGAAAUGGAUCUAGGGUUUCGGGGGAGGAGAAAGAGAAUUUCGGAGGGGGUUCUUUAAAUAGGCAUAGAGGGAGCUAGGAGAGUCCAAAAGAGGUGCGGUUUUCGGCGACGCGAUCGUGAUCGAACGCUCUAGAUGAUGGAGAAGGUUUUGGAGGGUUUUGGUCCAACUUGGAGGGGUGUUGGGCUGCAACACACACGAGGCCUUUUCGGUCCCUCGGUUAACCGUUGGAGUAUCAAACGAAGUCCAAAUGAUACGAAACUUGACAGGCGGUCUACCGGUAGUAAACCAAGGCCGCUUGGCAAUUCUCGGUCCAAUCCAGAAAUGUUUAAUCCCCACACACGAAAGAAAGGUAGAAAUGACCACCGGAGGAGAACGAAGCGCCGAAAUGCAAAACGGACAACGGGGAAAAUGCUCGAAUGCAUGAGAUGCACACGUAUGCAAAUGCAAUGCACAUGAUGACAUGAUAUGAGAUGCAUGAAAACGAAAAAAAAACACGGAGACAAAGACCCGAACUUGAGAAAAUAAAGUAACUUAACGCCGGAAACGGCAAGAGUUGGAAUACAUAUUGGGUAAGUUACAACUGGGGUGUUACACAAACCCCCUGAGGCGAGAUCCUCUACAUCCUCCAGCUGAAUCGUGGAGUGAAUCCAGUCGCUCUGGAUCUAGCCGGGCGGCAGGCCAGACCUCGAGGAAGACCCCCCCUGACUCGUAUUCUUGCCCUUCAGCCUCCCCACCGCUGUCGCCUUCUUGGCGCGCUCCAAAGCCGCCGUCUUGUCCUUCCCCAUCGCUGCAGGCUGCUCACGAGUGGUGCAAAGGUGUCGAGAGCGGUGGAGGACAAGGUGAAGAAACAUAGGAAGGAGAAGGGGAAUGGGAUGCGCUGUGCAAACACACUGGCCGCGGAGCCUUUUAUUCGCCCAUUUCUGAGUGACUGACAUGCGGGCCCGAGAGAUCCUGUCAAAUCCCGCAAUAGCUGCGCACUCGGUACGUGGCAAAAAAGGCGGCGUGGAAAUCGAGGCGCCCCUAUCUAAUUUGUCCUGAUUAUUGCGGCGCUCUCCGUCCUGCGCACUUCCCCAAAUUUCGAAUCCCGUGAGAUUCGGGAAUGGCAGCGCAAUCAGUCACGCCGAAGAUUUCGUUCUACUCCAACACUCGAAGCAUUCUAGGAUAAUUCACUCGACAAAAUUCUGAAUGGAUCAAGGCGAUUGAAAAUAAAGUUGAGGAUCUAGCGUGGUUCACCAACACUGGUACGAUGCCCCCGAAGCAUGAGUACUGAGUCGGAACCAUCUUCAACCUCUUCUACCCUCGGACCUCGAUCCAUUCAGGGGCUAAUGACGAGGACAUGUACCUAGGGUAGGGUAAUAGGCCUGACCUAGACGCCCUCCCCAAGUUCACUACCUUAAGAUCAACGACAUUCAAGGCGCAAUAGUUUUCACCGACUGGAAUCACCUCAGAGUGCAACCCACUCGAUCAAUAAUUCCACUCGGAUAACCCAAUUCCAUUCGACCAGUAUAUCAUCACUCGACCGAACAAGAAACCACUCGGAGUACAGAAGAUCUAAAGUCACUCAGGAUGGCAACGGUAAGGCGUUCACUCUGUAGUGUUAAUGAUCAUCUAUAUGUCUUUAUUGCUGGUGUUACUAGUAAUGUAUCACCUUAGUGUACAUUGAACGCUGUGUAACAUGGGACGGCUGGGGUCCUGGCGCACUCUAUAUAAGCCAGCCCCUCCUCUGGCACAAGGGUUCGCACCCUAUGUAACUUCUAGCAUAAUCCAGUCGACCGCCUCAAGGCACCGAGACGUAGGGCUUUUACUUCCUCCGCGAAGGCCCUGAACUCAUAAAUCUUGUGUGCACAACCUCAUCAUAUCUAGGAUCUUGCCUCCUCCUACGUACCCCCUUUCUACUGUCAGACUUAGAACCACAACACCCGCCACGAGCCUCAACACUCAUCGGAUCGCAUACAUCAGUAUGUAUUAUUUCCAAUAAGUCAGUUGCGCGCUCCAUUGUUCUGGAGAACGGAGUCUUAGUCAUCUUGCCCAUGAGGCAUGGUUCGCAAGCAUCAAGUGAUUUAUAAUCAAGUGAUUCCAAAAGCCCAUCAGCAUGGAGUUUCUUCAUGCACUUUACACCAAUAUGACCUAAACGGCAGUGCCACAAAUAUGGUGUACUAUCAUUAUCAACUUUGCAUCUUUUGGCAGCAAUAUUAUGAAUAUGUGUAUUACUAUGAUCGAGAUUCAGUAAACCAUUCACCUUGGGUGUAUGACCAUAGAAGGUUUUAUUCAUGUAAACAGAAUAACAAUUAUUCUUUGACUUAAAUGAAUAACCGUAUUGCAAUAAACAUGAUCCAAUCAUAUUAUGCUCAACGCAAACACCAAAUAACAUUUAUUUUAGGUUCAACACUAAUCCCGAAUGUAAAGGGAGUGUGCGAUGGCGAUCUUAUCAACCUUGGAAUCAAUUCCAACACACAUCGUCACCUUGCUCUCAACUAGUCUCUGUUUAUUUUGUAACUCCUGUUUCAAGUUACUAAUCAUAGCAACUGAACGAGUAUCAAAUACCCAGGGGCUACUGUGAAUACUAGUAAAGUACACAUCAAUAACAUGUAUAUCAUAUAUACUUUUGUUCACUUUGCCAUCCUUCUUAUCCGCCAAGUAUUUUGGGCAGUUCCGCUUUCAGUGACCAUUUCCUUUGCAGUAGAAGCACUCAGUUUUAGGCUUGGGUCUACCUUUGGCUUCUUCAUGGGAGUGGCAACUUGCUUGUCAUUCUUCUUGAAGUUCCCUUUCUUUCCCUUACCCUUUUACUUGAAACUAGUGGUCUUGUCAACCAUCAACACUGUAUGCUCUUUCUUGAUUUCUACCUUCGCCGAUUUCAGCAUCGCGAAGAGAUUGGGAAUCAUUUUCGUCAUCCCUUACAUAUUAUAGUUCAUCACGAAGUUCUAGUAACUUGGUGAUAGUGACUAGAGAACUUUGUCAAUCACUAUUUUAUCUGGAAGAUUAACUCCCACUUGAUUCAAGUGAUUAUAGUACCACAACAUUUUGAGCACAUGCUCACUAGCUGAGCUAUUCUCCUCCAUCUUGUAGGCAAAGUAUUUGUCAGAGGUCUCAUACCUCUCAACACGGGCAUGACCAAUUCAACUCUUGGAACAUCUUAUAUGCUCCGUGGCGUUCAAAAUAUUUUUGAAGCCCCGUUUCUAAGUCGUAAAGCAUGGUGCACUAAACUAUCAAGUAGUCGUCAUACCGAGCUUGUCAAACAUUCAUAACGUCUGCAUCUGCUCCUGCAAUAGUUGUGUCACCUAGCGGUGCAUCAAGGACAUAAUUCUUCUGUGCAGCAAUGAGGAUAAUCCUCAGAUCAUGGAGCUAGUCUGCAUCAUUGCUACUGACAUCUUUCAACAUAGUUUUCUCUAGGAACAUAUCAUAAAUAAAACGGGGAAGCUACACGCAAGUAAUUGAUCUACAACAUAGAUAUGAAAAUACUAUCAGGACUAAGUUCAAUAAAUCAUAUUACUUAAGAACUACCACUUAGAUAGACAUCCCUCUAAUCAUCUAAGUGGUCAUGUGAUCCAUAUCAACUAAAUCAUGUCCGAUCAUCAUGUGAGAUGGAGUAGUUUUCAAUGGUGAACAUCACUAUGUUGAUCAUAUCGACUAUAUGAUUCACACUCGACCUUUCGGUCUCAGUGUUCCGAGGCCAUAUCUGCAUAUGCUAGGCUCGUCAAGUUUAACCCGGGUAUUCUGCAUGUGCACAACUGGCUUGCACCUGUUGUUGUGAACGUAGAGCUUAUCACACCCGAUCAUCACGUGGUGUCUCGGCACGACGAACUAUAGCAACGGUGCAUACUCAGGGAGAACACUUAUACCUUGAAAUCUAGUGAGAGAUCAUCUUAUAAUGCUACCAUCGUACUAAGCAAAAUAAGAUGCAUAAAGGAUAAACAUCACAUGCAAUCAAUAUAAGUGAUAUGAUAUGGCCAUCAUCAUCUUGUGCCUUUGAUCUCCAUCUCCAAAGCAUCGUCAUGAUCUCCAUCGUAGCAUCGUUGUCGUCUCGCCAACUAUUGCUUCUACGACAAUCGCUACCGCUUAGUGAUAAAGUAAAGCAAUUACAUGGUGAUUGCAUUUCAUACAAUAAAGCGACAACCAUAUGGCUCCUACCAGUUGCCGAUAACUAUGUUACAAAACAUGAUCAUCUCAUACAAUAAUUUAUAUAAUCACGUCUUGACCAUAUCACAACACAACAUGCCCUACAAAAACAAGUUAGACGUCCUCUACUUUGUUGUUGCAAGUUUUACAUGGCUGCUACGGGCUUAGCAAGAACCGUUCUUACCUACGCAUCAAAAACCACAACACGGUAUAGUGAUUGCUUUUUGAUCUUCAAAAAGAACCAUGUUCAUUGAAUCCGAUUCAACUAAAGUUGGAGAAACUGACACCCGCCAGCCACCUGUGUGCAAAGCACGUCAGUAGAACCAGUCUCAUGAACGUGGUCAUGUAAUGUUGGUCUGGGCCGCUUCAUCCAACAAUACCGCCGAAUCAAAGUAAUACGUUGUUGGUAAGCAGCAUGACUAUUAUCGCCCACAACACUUUGUGUUCUACUCGUGCAUAUAACAUCUAUGCAUAGACCUGGCUCAGAUGCCACUGAUGGGGAACGUAGUAUUUCAAAAAAAUUCCUAUGAUCACACAAGAUCUAUCUAGGAGAUGCAUAGCAACGAGAGGGGAGAGUGUGUCUACGUACCCUCGUAGACCGAAAGCGGAAGUGUUAAGUAAUGUGGUUGAUGUAGUCGAACGUCUUCGCGAUCCAACCGAUCAAGUACCGAACGCACGGCACCUCCGCGAUCUGCACACGUUCAGCUCGGUGACGUCCCUAGAACUCUAGAUCCAGUUGAGGCCGAGGGAGAGUUUCGUCAGCACGACGGUGUGGUGAUGGUGAUGAUGAAGUUACCGACGCGGGGCUUCGCCUAAGCACUACGACAAUAUGACCGAGGUGGAAAUCUGUCGAGGGGGGCACCGCACACGGCUAAAACAAUUGUCAACUUGUGUGUUCUAGGGUGCCCCCUUCCCCCGUAUAUAAAGGAGUAAGGGGGAGGCCGGCCGGCCCUAUAGGGAGCGCCCAAGGGGGGCAAUCCUACUCGUAGUAGGAGUUGACCCCCCCCCCCUUCCUAGUCCUACUAGGAGAAGAAGGAAGGAGAGGGGAAGGAGAAGGAAGGAGGGGGCGCCGCCCCUCCCCCUAGUCCAAUUUCGACUAGGCCCAUGGGGGGGUAAGCGGCCAGCCCUUGGCUGCUCCAUCUCUCUCCCUUAAGGCCCAAUAAGGCCCAAAACUUCCCCGGUGGUUCUGAUAACCCUUCCGGCACUCCGAUAAAUACCCGAUACACCUUGGAACCAUUCCGGUGUACGAAUAUAGUCAUCCAAUAUAUCAAUCUUUAUGUCUCAACCAUUUCGAGACUCCUAGUCAUGUCUGCGAUCUCAUCCGAGACUCCGAACUACCUUCGGUACAUCAAAACACAUAAACUCAUAAUACCGAUCGUCAUCGAACAUUAAGCGUGUGGACCCUACGGGUUUGAGAACUAUGUAGAUAUGACCGAGACUCACGGAACCUGGAUGCUCAUAUUGGUUCCUAAAUAUUCUAUGAAGAUCUUUAUCGGUCAAACCGCAUACGUUGUUCCCUUUGUCAUCGGUAUGUUACUUGCCCGAGAUUCGAUCGUCGGUAUCAUCAUACCUAGUUCAAUCUCGUUACCAGCAAGUCACUUUACUCGUUCCAUAAUGCAACAUCCCGUAACUAACUCAUUAGUCACAUUGCUUGCAAGGCUUAUAGUGAUGUGCAUUACCGAGAGGGCCCAGAGAUACCUCUCUGAUACACGGAGUGACAAAUCCUAAUCUCGAUCUAUGCCAACUCAGCAAACACCAUCGGAGACACCUGUAGAGCAUAUUUAUAAUCACUCAAUUGCGUUGUGACGUUUGAUAGCACACAAGGUGUACCUCCGGUAUCCGGGAGUUGCAUAAUCUCAUAGUCAGAGGAACAUGUAUAAGUCAUGAAGAAAGCAAUAGCAAUAAAACUCAACGAUCAUAAUUCUAAGCUAACGGAUGGGUCUUGUCCAACACAUCAUUCUCUAAUGAUGUGAUCCCGUUUAUCAAAUGACAACACAUAAUCAUCUUUGAUUAACGAGCUAGUCAAGUAGAGGCAUACUAGGGACACUCUGUUUUGUCUAUGUAUUCAGACAUGUACUAAGUUUCCGGUUAAUACAAUUCUAGCAUGAAUAAUAAACAUUUAUCAUGAUAUAAGGAAAUAUAAAUAACAACUUUAUUAUUGCAUCUAGGGCAUAUUUCCUUCAGGCCGCGUCAAGCAGGAGAAGGACGACGAGGACAACGGUGAUGGUGGCAACGUCGGCGACUUCGCCACGCUGAGCGAGUUCUUCCUAUAGUCUAGGCCUUUGCUUUUUAGUAAAUUUUAAAUUUGCUAUUCUAAAAUUGUUUUAAGUCGCCGAAGUUUAUGCCCGUUUGCCGAAUAAUAGACGAAUAUCUUUUAAAAAAAGCCUUCUGGGGCGACCCUGGGGCCGGCGCCUGGGAACCCGUUUGGCCCCAAGCCGAUUUUAUCGUCGGGUCGCCCCCAGGCGGCGAUUUUUCGAGCCCCCUGGGGUCCAACGGCUGGAGAUGCUCUAAUGCUUGGUUAGACGAAGCGUCUGGUGACCUUAGGGCAUCUCUUGCAGAUCCCAACUUUAUUCCCCUAUUCUAGCCCCCAUCUCAGGGGGAAAAAAGAGAGAUAUUUUAGGCAUUAAACUUUUGUUUCAUCUAGCAGAUCCUUCAAAGUUUAAUCCCCAAAAAACUUGAUCACAAUUUUUUGCACACAAAUUUAAACUAGUUAAUUGCAUAACUAGGCACUACAUACGGCGUCCAUUGCUGCCUACUACAUUAGCCGUUGGUACCACAUUAACAUCGUACAUAACAUAAUUAAGUCUGUUGCCUACUGCAUUAACACUACAUCGACAUCGAACUAGUUUAAGCAUGUUCUAUGUUGAUGUCAUUGCCUACUAUAUUAACACUACAUCAACAUUGAACAAAUUUAAACUAGUUCAUCGCCUGAUCCUAACGGCAGGAGGGGCGAGAUCGCCUACGGUUGCCGCAUCGGCAGGGAAGUUUCGCUUCGCCAACGGCCCGAAUAAGAGGAGUGCAGGCGUCAUAGGCGUGCGACGCCUCCUCCGCGGUGUCAAAUAUGCAAAGCCAAACAUGUUUCGCGUCGGCGUUGUGGAUAUCCCACUGCAAACUUGUCCCCAUGACCGGUGAUGGACGUCGUGAUACUUCAUUGGCGACAACAGCUGCGACGACGGAGGUCGGGGAGACGCCGCGGGGGCUCGGAGCUAUGACAGGGAGGUGAAAAUGGAGCUCGGGGAGGUGGCAGUGGCGAAGAAGAUGGCGCACAACCGAGAGGGAGGCGGCGAUGGAGCUUGGGGAGGCGACAGUGAUUGAUUCUAGGAAGACGACUCGGGGUAAGGAGGGCCGCGGGGCGAGGAGGGCGAUCGCGGCCCGCGCGCGAACCAUUUGCUGGGCUGGGAGGCGGUGCUGGGGCUCGGGAGGCGGAGGUGCUCAAUCGUCGGCCGUGAUCCUUGAGCUCGAGGAAGGAGGUGGCGACAACCUGAUAUCAUGGAACGAAAUGCCUGAAUCGGGAGUGUCAAUGGCGACAAUGGAUGCGCGGCGGGGUUGGAUAGAGUUUGGGGCGGCAGUGGCGAGUUUUAUAGCCGGAGCGAAGCGGAUCGAUCGGCACCUCGGUCGCCACGCCAUGAAGGAAGUAUCCCCAUUUUAGUGCCUACUUCUAGAGCAAAAAUAGGGUAGAGCUAUAAAGUUUAGGGACAUGGAUUUUUCCUAACUAGUUGUGGGCACAACCUGAAUCUUGACCGCAGAUCAAGCAUGAUGUCCAAUCGACAUGGCCCACCUAGCUGUCAGGUCUGCAUGCCCCAUCCCUGUAUACGAGCCAUGUGACCAAUUUCAACAGAUGGUAUAGUGAACCGUAUUCCACCAGACUAGGUUGUAGGUGGGACCCACCCUAUAGAUUCUUUUUCCCCUAGAUCACGCAUGCCUUCCUUUCCCUCCAGUCUACCGAUUACAAAUGUUGACUCGACUAGGAUUUGUAAUUGCACCAGAUUUCUUUUUAACGUGUGCUUAAUUAAUUAUUAAUGUAUAAAACUCCCGUGGAAGAUGCCAAAGUUCUUUUUAACACGUGUUUAAUUAAUUAUUAAUUAUUAAUACCUAAGUGCAUUUAUCUUCUAAAAAUGUAUCCUUCUUGGUAAAUCUCUGGACAUACAAAGCUCUGGACGCGUCCUCGCUAAAGUUUGACGCUAGCAUGCAGAAUUUCUGGUGGUACUGCUCACAAAUGUGGGGCUCACUCGUCCACCCUCCACCACAAGCUCCUUCCCUGAGAUUCUUUAUGACUGUAAGGAUAUUGUACCAAAUAAAUUGACAAGUUCUGUGUUGAACAGCAGGAAAGUUCUUUAUAUUGAUCUUUAAUUUUUUUGCGAGGGAUUCUCCAUAUUGAUAUAGGCCCAUCCUUUAGAGCUCAUUUGGUUGCGUGGGUUCCCCCCGGGAUCCCACGUUUUUCCAGGGCCCGAAAUCCACAUGGAGACCCUCGCCUGGGAAAACAGCCUCCUCAUUUGGACGACCCGUUCGAUGUGGUGUGCCUGCCCGAACCCUGCCCUUUCCCCGGGAAAAGGUCCCACACCUCCACACUCGUGGAAAAUCCUCUCGUCGUUUCCCUCGCGCGAUCUGAUCUCCGUUGCCUCGCUCUCCCUCCCUCGCCUGUGCCUUCCAACCCUCUCUUCCCCUCCCUUGUACCAACAAAUGAGGAGAAGAUCUCUCCCAUGAAAAGGAAGGGAAUUACAUGUGCUCCUGAAGUUCCCCCGAAGGGAUGUAGUACCCUGGGCGUUCUUCCCUGAGUCACCAAACAAAGCCUUAGCGGGAAAUAGCCAAUGGACCUCGGGUGCCAUUGCACCCGAAUUAAUAAAAAGUUUAAAAAUAUUUAAAGAGUCAAAAAAUAUGAAUCUGUUUUGUAACAAAUCUGACUUAGUGUAAUACUAGCGCGACGUGUUAUUCUCGACGGGAACAAACAUAAUUGUACUACAUAAAAGUUACUAUUCUCAUUUUUUGAACUUGCGAUUUUGUCUUCUCUUUUUUGCUGAAGAAACCACGAGAAUCAUUCUUUCGUGAAACUUUUUACACGAGUAAUACAUUAGGCCAUGUUUGCUACAAAAAUAAUUCAGAAAGUUUUAAGUCUCUUUUUUCUAAAAGUGUUUUUCCAAUUCGGGUGCCUAUGUUGUACCGCGUCACAAGCUUGUAGCAGCACUGUGCACUUCAAGCUAAAUUCUCCACCCCCCUUGUAUCUCCCACUCGCCAGUACUCGUGCAAACACAGUCAGCUAGGCCCUUGCUUUUCCAUUGUGAAUUUAUAUCUCGUUCAAUAGUCCAAAAGAUUCAAAAGACGCCUCGUCACUCGAGUUAAAAUAUGUUGCUCAAUGCAGAUCAUCGUUUUCUCAUAUACAAUUUAAGUGCAUUAAUAUGACAAUAUCACAACCUAAAUGGUCGGUCAGAGUAUAUUUAAUCUCAGAUGAUAUGAAUGCCAUAGGAGUAGUUAUAUGGCCGGUCAGAGUGUGUGAAAGUUGAUACUAGGCGUUGAGUGAAAAAGGCCCGCUAUCGGGUACAUAUGACUAUUAUCUCUAAAGCUCUUCAUAGUCGAUCAUAAGAAGACCGCAAUCAAGGAUAAAAAGUGUGCAUCGGCGAUUAUAUGGGAUGUAGCAUCUAGUGAUGACAGUAUCACAAUAAAUGUGGUGUUGGUUUUCCAGAGAUCCCGAAUGAAAAAACUUACCGAUCGAUACAACAGUAACGUUCUUCAUGAUUGACUGUAAUAGGUCCGCCUACGGGUACAUAUGGUUUCUAUCUCUAAAGUUCUUUGCGGUCGACCAUAAGAGAACCGAUAUCCAAAGGUGUUGGUUUCCCAAGAUCCCCAAUGAAAAAACUUAUUGAUUGAUAAAAUAGGAUUACACUUCUUCUUGGUCGAGUGCAAGAGGCCGCCUUUGGAUACAUAUGGCUGCUAUCUCGAAAGUUCUUCGCGAUUGAUCAUAAGAGGACCGCAAUCAAGGAUAAUAAGUGUGCAUCGGCGAUUAUAUGAGACGUAGCAUCUAGUGAUGACAAUAUCACAUUAAUUGCGAGGUUGGUUUUCCAAAGAUUCCGAACGAAAAAACAUACCAAUCGAUAUACAACAUUAAAGUUCUUCAUGGUUGAAUGCAACAGACCCGCCUAUGGCUACUAUCUUUAAAGUCCUUUGCGGUCGACCAUAAGAGGACUGGGACCGAGGAUAUAAAGUGCGCAUCGAUGGUUAUAUUGGAUGUAGUGUCUAGUGAUGACAAUAUCACAAUAAUUAAGGCGUUGGUUUCCCAAGAUCUCCAAUGGAAAAACUUACCGACCGAUAUAUAACAUUAAACCUCUUCUUGGUUGAGUGCAAGAGGCCACCUUCGGGUACAUGUUGCUGCUAUCUCUAAAGUUCUUCGCGGUCGGCUAUAAGAGGACUGCAAUCGAGGAUAUAAAGUGCACAUUAAUGAUUAUAUGGGGCGUAACGUCUAGUGAAGGAUUUGGAUUCCUCUCCAUCUUGGCUUGAGGAAGGAGAAUCGCUGAAAUCCGGAGGAAUGCACCAGCCGUCGUCCUCCUUCUCUAGCUAUCCCAGAUCUGGGGCGUCCUCAGGGGAAGUUGGCUGGGAACAGAAGCUGCUCAUGGACACGCCAAGAUUGAGAUUGAAGGAUUUGACGGAGAAGACGAUGAAAGAAAAAGAGUAGCUUAUGAGAGGAGAAACCUGAACAGGGGAUCUGUGAAUGACUCCGCACCAAGAUUCAUUGGUCAAUCGUUAAGAAACCUGUAGAUCCGGGCGUGGUCGCGCGGGGACGGGAAGCGUGGUGGUUCUCGGCGAUGCUGGUGCGUCUGCACGAUUGGAUUCAAAUUUUGAAUUGUGUCCAGGUCAGGCGGAUGGGUCACAGGGUAUAUGGGACAGGCCCCGCAGGCAAGUACGAGCUAAUUGUGGGCGUAGGUAUAGGUCGCUACAUACGAUUUGACUGUAUUCAUUCCAUAUAGCAUUAGCAAAACUGGAAACGCUUUAUUCCGGUGGGCUAUGUCGGGGCAGGCUCGCGCUGAUCCACAUGCAACAGCGACGGCAACGAUUCGCGUUGCGCACGCAGGCAGUUAGGAAUAGCCAUAUUCGAAAGUUUAGGAGUUCAAAAGUAAUUUUUGUGAGACACUGAACUUUUUAGGGGAUAUGCUAGAUGGGGUUUAAUUAAAAAAUCCUUAAAAUAACUUUCGGAAAUCAUAGGGGUGCUUCUAUUUCAUAUCUGGUCAUUAUGUAACAACUAUUAAGGAAUAUCCAAAGUUGAUCUACAAAUUCCCUUGCGCAUCCGUCUGUGGGCAGAUGGGACCAGUCCACGGAUACGAAUGCGGGAGCCGGCUAUCCAACGUUAUCCGCAUACAUUUCAUGUCGGGUUUUAGCAAACUGGAAAAAAUUCAUCAAACUCGACGGAAUUCAUCAAAAUUUAGAUAGAAAAUAGCACAAAUUGUGCAUACAUAGCAUGCAAAUAAGCCUAGUAAAACAAUAGUUCAAAUUCAAGGAGAUUAACUGGAUGUUCAAUAAGUUUUUCAUGAACGGGUCAUGUUGUCCCACACAUACUGCCCUUCCGGCUACAUUCAAUAGUGUAUGUACGUAAAUGGCCGUCCCUCCAUCCUGUGGUACAUCGCGACAGCGUGUACGAGCUACGCAAUGUGUAGAGCAACAUUGAGUGAAUGAAUGAUUCAAUCAAAAAGUUGAGCGAGAAGAAGAAAAACUCAUGAUCUCCUCCGCUGCCGCGCGCAAUGGCCACCUUGCCUUCAGCCAAACAACUGCAUCACAAACUUGGUGAUGGUGUCUGGAUGGCAUACCAUCGAUACGAUAACGACUUCACGUUGCGUUGUUGGAUGAUGUGCAUCUCAUAGGGUGCAGUGUGCUUUUGUGCACGAAAUGAAUCAUGCACGCACUCCCAGAAUAGCCCCCUUCUGCUCUUGCCUACGCAGUCCACUAAUACAGCCAACCACGCAUCGCACAACAACUCAUCCUUUAUGAUCGAGUACCCCGCCAUCCUUCAUACUCUAGAAAACAACAUGGCAUUUGAAAAAAAAAACUCAACUGCAUUUGAGCGAACACCUACCGGGCAUGGGGUCCGCCAUGGACGUCGUUGGCAGGGGCGGAGUGUACCUGGCUACGGACGAGUCCAGGGUGGACGGCACUAUCGUAAAAGGCGAGCGGGUGCGCCGGUGCUGGUUGUGGAGGUCCAGCAAUGUCUGUGUGGCGGACGAAGAGGUACAGCGGCAGCGGCGAAGAAGGAGGGUGCGGAUGCAAAGCACGGGGGAGAAGGACGGAUUGAAAGACAGAAGGACCGGGAGGGGAGAUUUAGUGAGCCGGGGGUGUCGGAAUCCUACGCGGCUCCUGUCCGGACUACCGCAACCCCCCACCCCUAAAUGCUUCUAUUUUUGGAUAAAAUAUGCGUCAGGACCGAUCGACAGACCGAUACAAACCUGUGUUGAAUGACAAAACACUGGACUACGUAGUCUGGAUUUAUACGGGCGGUUUAAGGGUAAGGGUGUUGGAGAUGCCCUUACUAUUUAUUCAUUAAAGAGGGGAGGGUUUUAAUGUAGAAAAAGACGUUCCUCGUGACAAAAGUUUCCCGUUGCGUAGUACACUCCACAGAUUUCUGCAUGUCAUGAAUUUGAUCAGCGACGGUGUCAACUAAUGAAUUGGUCGUCCUGUGUCCCAGGGAUGCGUUGCGUUUGUCUUUGAGCGGCGUGUGAGUGAGGGCGCGAAAUCAAGUUGAUCAACUUGCGACGCAACGGGUCGAUAAUGGCACUGAAAGAAGCGACACGCAGUACUCAUAAAUUAAUGAGUGGGUGCAUGUGCAUGCAUGCAAGGAGAAAAGUUUGAGGGCAAUUUAAUUGAUUGGACAGUCGGAAUAUUCGCCAGGUUUUGUACUGCAAGUUGAUAAUUAAUUGCGCAGCCGACUAUAUGAAAUUGCCGUGUCAAUCAUAAGACGUAGCCAACUUAAUAAUCCAUUUGUACAAUAAUUAGUCAUUACAACUCAACAUAUGCAGUGUUGAUUGGAAAUUGAUGCAACAUUCUCCCGUUUCAUUUGUACCAUCGUACAAAAAUCGAAUUUGACGUGUCUUAUAGGCAGUCUAUAUCACCCUAUCAUACUUGCUUUAUGGAGAUAUACUUCACAAUUAAUUACAUGAAAAACAAACCGCUGCGCCAUGCUGUCUGCCAUGUAAAAGUUGCACUCUCAAUGAACGGAGAGCAAAUUAAGGUUCUACUAACGCUACUAGAUUUGACCCGAAAAAAACACUACUACUAGAUUUGUCAAGGACAAUAUUUAAUCGUGUACUUCAUUCGUUUUUAUUUACUCUGAAUAUUACCUCUGUCUUGAGUUAAACUUAGGUCUUCUGCAAAAACAAAGGUUAAACUUAGGUAAUGUUUAUAUAAAACAAAUUGUGAGAAUUUUUUGAAAACAUGAACACUUUUUGAAAUCGGAAACUCUUUUUGAAAUUAUGAACAUUUAUCGAAUUCCUGGACAUUUUUUACAAAAUCAUGAACAAUUUAUGGAAUCAUGAAUAUUUUUUACAAUUCGCUAUUUUUUGAAUCCCUGAACAUUUUUGGAAAUUUUAGAACAAUAUUUGAAAUUCAAAAAUAUUGGUUUUUUGUUUUCACAAACAUUUUUUGAAUCCAUUAAAAAAAUUUUUGAAUCAGCGGAUAUUUUUUGAAUCAGUAAAUUUUAUAUAUUUGUUUGGGAACAAUUUUGAAAUUUGUGAACUUUUUAAAAAAAUCAUGGACAAUUUUCGGAUUUAUGAAUAUUUUAUGGAAUUCCAAACAUUUUUUGAAUUCAUGAACAAUUUUUAAAAGUAAUAACUUUUUUGAAAAUCCCGAUCUUUUUUAAAAUUUGAGAUAAAAGUACAGGGGCGCGUGCGCACAUGGGCUGGCCCAGAUCGAGCACUGAGUAGGAGGUAGGGGAGCGCGCAUUCGCUGAGUAUCCAACGUGCAGGUCGCUGAAUAGGGGCACCGGCAGGGACGCGUAGUAUGUACUCCCGGGCUCAAAUGCUAUCUAAUGAACAGUAUAAUCGGAAAUUUAUUGGGUACAAAUUUUCAAAAAUAUUUUGUGUGCUUGCAAAAAAUUAUCAUAAAAUGGCAUUUCAAGUUGUGGUAAAAAAAAAAACCGAUGCUCCAAAAAUGAUAUAUUCAAAAGCAAUUUUGGAGUGCUGAUUUUGUUUCUUUUGCCAUGACUUCCACAAAUGUUGUUUCAAGAUGAAAAUUUUCAAGCACGGAGAACAUUUGUCAGAGUUUGCACCCAAAAAAGUUCAGAACUUUCUGGAAAAAAAAUCAUUUUUCAGAUUUACUGUUCAUCCCAAGCUCAUAUGAUAUGAAUUUGGGAGUAGAAAGGGACUUUCGCACCCACAAGGUACUUAGCCUGCCCAUGCUUCCUAUUCCUUAUUCCUACAGCAGCAGCCUGACAAAUCCGUUGUGUCCAUAGUUCGUUCUACUGUGGCGAUCUCCAGACAGAGAUCCCCUGUAAACAUCCUUGUGAACAUCUCACUCAGAACGUGACGUCUCAUACAACCUACCAAACACAUAUUCUAUCUGGCCAGUCCCACAACACAAAAGCAACCAAACACAUAUCUCAGUCUACCAUUGCAUUAGCCCAGCCAGGCCACACUCAGCCAGCAUGCUAGAUGCGAUGCAGCCAAAUGUGACCCAGGCAUCAAAACACCCCUAAAUGAUUUAAGUACUCUGACGCACAGCGGACGCACAUCAUCAGUCCGAGGACAUCAACCAAACACACGUAGCCUCGCCAGGCAAUAUUUUCAAUCUUCUCGGGCUCAAUCCAGGCAGUCCAUUUCUCCAGGCACGGUGUUCAGGUAUCCAACCAAACAGGUCCUACAAGCGAGAUAUAUACACCUCUCCAACAUGCGGUAGCGUAUCCCCAUAUUCAGAUGUACAAUCCAUUUUAUUCCUCUACUCAUCAAAUGGUAAAAAAAAAUCUAUACGGCUACCAGAUCUCCACCUGCACCUAGCUACAUUAUUACAGAAACACACUGUUCCACCACGUAACCCAGCCAAAGAGACGGAAGAUGG
rnacentral:lncRNA from 1 species